CUCGGCUGUUUGGGAAGCCACCAGGAAGUGUGUGUGUGUGUGUGUGUGUGUGUUAGUGAAUGCGUGCAACAUGCCGAGGCUUAUGUCCUCAGAUGUGAUAAAUAGAACCCUGAAAUUACCCCCCUCUGUCUUGCACUGUAGACCCUCCACACAUCAUUGAGCUCAUUUUUGUGUGUUUUUAAAUUCCUGACAACAGGAAUUUUUCCUAAAGCAAACAUGAUAAGUGAAGACUCAUUUCUGAUAUGGAUUCUAAGAACCGUCCUGUUUCAACUCAGUUCCUCCGUUUUUCUGUUUAUCGUUCAAGUGCUACAUCCUCAUCAAUGUUUUAAUGAUAUCUGUGAUCUUCCAGGAGUUGGCAAUGAUGAAGCAGACCCUGAUCAGCAUGCAGUCCAGAAAGGGAAAGGGUCUUGACCUGUUUGAAACUGGUAACAGUGCUACGAGGACCUCUAGAACAGCAGGGCAGCAGUCCAAACGCGUCAGCAGAACUGACGAGGAAGAAUCAUCAAACAAGCCCAAACCGACUGUUUUUACCAAAGGAGAAGUUCCUGAUUGGUACCAAAGGGCAAGGCAGAAACCUAAAUGAGAAUUUUCCAUAAUUUGGAGCCAAUUCAGGAUUUUUUUCUUAUGUAAAUGUAAUAGUACAGUUUUUUCUUGUAAAUGGUGUUUAUGUUUUUAUUACAAAAGUAAAACAAGUCACUUAUA